rnacentral:rRNA from 1 species
UACGUAGGUGGCAAGCGUUGUUCGGAAUCACUGGGCAUAAAGCGUGCGUAGGCGGCCAUGUAAGUCGGGUGUGAAAUACCUCGGCUCAACCGAGGAACUGCGCUCGAUACUGCAUGGCUUGAGGGCUGGAGGGGAGAGUGGAAUUCCCGGUGGAGCGGUGAAAUGCGUAGAGAUCGGGAAGAACGCCGGCGGCGAAAGCGACUCUCUGGUCAGCCCCUGACGCUGAGGCACGAAAGCUAGGGGAGCAAACGGG